AAUUAAUGAGCUUGAUAAAGCAUAUGCUUUGAAAGCAUAAGACAAUAGUAUAUUCUAUUAUUAAUUU
rnacentral:tRNA from 1 species